rnacentral:rRNA from 1 species
AGUGAUUCUGCCAAACGGCACUUGAUGGAUACCUUGGCUGAGAAACCGACGAAGGGCGUGGCUAGCUGCGAUAAGCUUAGGGGAGACGCAUGCAGUCUUCGAUCCUAAGAUCCCCGAAUAGGAAUCCAUUGUACGUCCAAAAAGCGUACAAAUCCUCUUUUGAGGAAGGGAACCCACUGAACGAAAGCAUUCAAGUAAGUGGUGGAAAAGAAAGCAACAGCGAUUUCCUUAGUAACGGCGAGUGAAAAGGAACCAUGGUCAAACCGAAUAUUAUUUUGAAAAAAAUAAUAGAUGUGGUGUUGUGGACCGAAACCAAUGCUUAGCAGACAUAAAUCGAACUCUUUUGGAACAAAGGGCCAUAGAGGGUGAAAGCCCCGUAGAUGUAAGUCUGUUGCUACGAGUUUCGUCAUCCAGACUAGGGCGCAUUGGGUGUUGCGUCCAAACUUCGAGAACUAACUCGAAAACCUAAAUAUUAAUCUCAGACCGAUAGAAAACUAGUAAAUUGAUUGAAAGGUGAAAAGUAGCGGUAACACGCAGUGAAAAGAGCUUGAAAUCAAGUGCUUAUAGAGUAUAAUGGCGUAAAAGGAUAGAGACUCGAUGUACCUAUAAUCGGUGACGAUUCUACGGGAAUCGAGUUUACCAGCGUCAUUGUGUCAGUCUUGAAACACUGGUCAGGGAGUUUAUUCGAGUGGUGAGACCAAGAUAAUAUCUAAAUCGUAGGGAAACCAAUCAGUCCGCAGCAUUGCAAGGGACAACGUCUGAAAGGGCGUGAAAUCACUCGAAUAAGAUGCGAAAGGCGUCGAUCUAUGCGUGGCCAGGUUGAAGCCGUGGGAAACUACGGUGGAGGACCGAAGGGGUAUUGAUAUACAACUCAUUCCUCUGAGCUGCGUUUAGUAGUAAUAGGCUAAUCUAGGCGUCUGAUAGCACAUUACCGUCGAAGUGGAGCCGCAGUCCAGCGUUGGGCGAGUAAAAUUUGAAGGUAGAGUACAGACAGUGUUGGAAUGGGGAAUUUAUUCCUCGCCGCACCAUCUAACUCCGAAUGUCAAAUUUAUUUAGACCCCAGCAGUCGGGCGGGUCGCCGUAAGGGUGAUCGCCGAGAAGCGAAUAAGCUAGAUUUGGGUUAAGGGCCCUAAAUGUCAAUUAAGUGUAAAAAUGAAGAGCGUCGUAUUCCGAAGACAAUGUGAUGGUAAGCUUAGAAACAGCUAUCCAUUAAAAAGUACGUACUAGUUUACACAUCGAGGAAUACGGCCUUGAAAAUGGACGGGGCUAAAAUUGACUCCCGAUACCCAAAGGCAUGUAUAACAACAUGAUCCGGUAGACGGUCGAUCGGCGAGGGUUGAAGCAGGUUGGUGAUGACCUGUGGACCUCGUCGAUGCGCAGAUCCUGAUAGUAGUAGGCAGAAAAUAUGGGUGAAAAUCCCAUAGGUCGAAAAGGCAAGGGUUCCUGGGCAACGUCAAUCGACCCAGGGUAAGUCGAUCCUAAGAGUAGCCUUAGUAUGGUUAUCUCAAAAGGGAAACAGGUUCAUAUUCCUGUACCACGCUUGAAAACCGGCAACGAUAGGAGGAGAUCAGACGUUUGUGGAUAGGCUUUUCUGGAUCGUCGUCCAGACUAAGUAUAUAAUUCCGGGGAGUAAUGUUACAUUGAGAACCGGAAAAAAUUACCAAUGGCCCACCAAUAGUGGUAGGUAAGGUCGAUUUCCAAAAACCCAUGAAAAUGAUCUUCUUUAAUACAGCGUGAUCGUACCAACAACCGACACGGGUGUCCUUAGGCUGAGAAAGCUAAGACCUCUUGGAGUAAUGCAGGCAAGGGAAUUCGGCAAAUUAGGCGAGUAACUUAGGGAUAAUCGCUGCCUUUACAUGUUCACGCGUGCGAAGGUGUCACUAACUCAGGAAACCCGACUGUUAAAUUUUGUUUGACAGUAAGUGUCCUGAUGAAAAUCGGGGCAAGUUACAUGCGAUGUAGCAACAUCAUCAAAUUGCGGGAAAAUCCUAAAGCUAUUAAUACUCUUCAUUCUGAGAAAUCUGAAUAGAAAACCAGGGUAAUGACCUCGGGCAUAGUAACAACUUAAUAGAUAUAUGGACGAUCCGCAGCCAAGCUCUAACUCAAUUUAUUGAUAUGAGUGCAGUUCAACGACUAAACGGUGAUGGGUGAUAAAUCUCAUUGAUUUAUUGCUUAAGAUAUAGUCUGUCUCGCUAGAAAUAGUGUUUGUCGUAAAUGUAUAAUAUGAAAUCGCAAUUAGAGUAAUAUUAUAAGAAAGGACAGAAUUGAUAUUGUGAAAGAAAGUAAUUUAAAUUUUACUCAUCAUGAUAUUAUAGUGAAAACGUAACAAAAACAUAGCAAACUGCUACGCUGAAAAGCUUUGUAUAGUUUGUGAAUCCUGCUCCGUGCUGGUAAGUCAAAUCCGGGUUCAACCGGGCUAAGCUCCAGUUAACAGCGGGAGUAACCAUGACUCUCUUAAGGUAGGCAAAUGCCUUGUCGGAUAAUUACCGACGCCCAUGAAGGGACCAACGAGGUUUCCACUGUCCCUGCCUGGAAUCCAGUGAACCUACAGUCCGGCGAACAGUCCGGAGAGUUCCGUUGGGAAGAGAAGACCCUGAGAGCUUUACUAUAGCUUCCAGUUGUUUAUUCGGCUCUCGUACAGAGCGUAGUUAGGAGACUUUGAAGUCAGGUCCCCGGGCCUGAUGGAGUCAACAAUGGAACACUAACUUCGUGGGCUGGAUAGACUCACCUGUUGCGACGGGGACACCUGGUGGUGGAUAGUUUGGCUGGGGCGGCACGCCUCCGA